GCCAGGCACAGUGGUGCAUGCCUGUAAUCUCAGCGGCUCAGGAGGCUGAGACAGGAGAAUCAAAGUUCAAAGCCAGCCUUAGCAACAGUGAGGUGCCAGCAACUCAGUGAGACCCUGUCUCUA
rnacentral:sRNA from 1 species